rnacentral:piRNA from 1 species
UUCUACAGAAGAGAUGGCGAGCUCUACCACU